AAGGUGCGCCGUUCUUCUCCCGCCCCCCCCCACCACCACACACCCACCCAUCUUCCACUAUCACACUUGACUUCCUCAUCUCCUUACACACGCACCGCCGGCCUCCAUCAUCGAAAAUGCCUCGGCCGGCGUGCCUGUGCGUCUUGAUCGCGCUUGUGCUUGUGAACAUCCUCGCCGGUGGCUGCAGCACCGGCGCGCAGGCGUUUAGGUUCAGCGUAGUACCGGGGAAGGUGAAAUGCUUCACGAGUGAGCAGCCGGAGGGUGGUCGCUACGAGCUGCGGUAUCGCAUGAUGCGCAGCCUCACACCCUUUGUCUCCGUCGCAGUCACGUCGCGCGGCGGCCGCGUGCUGAUGGAGCACGAGCUCGCGAAGCCGGACGCGAAGGAGAUCGUCUCUGUGGGCAAAGACAGCCUCAUCUCCAUUUGCUUUCACACGUCCGAGAAGGCGGCGAAAGCGGCGGUCUCCACGAAUGUGACGCUCGACAUCGUUGAUGCCGAGGAUGCCGAGCUGACGCGCAUGAAGAAGCAGAGCUACAGCACGAGCAGCCCAAUCACGCUUGGUGCCGGCAAGGGUAGCGGAUCUAUGCAGCAGAUGCAGUACAUCUACGAAACAUUUGCCUCCAUGCGCAUGUGCUUCGUCUCCCUCACCCGCGCCGAUGAGGACAUCCGCUACUCGCUCAUGGAGGCAGAGCGCCUCUCGUGGAUACCUGUCUACAUCUUCUUAGGCCUCGGCGUCCUCAUGAUACUCGGCACCUUCGUCCGCCUGCAAAUGUUCAUGCAUAAAAUGAAGAUACUGGGGUGAGGUGCUCCAUCGCGCCAAGGGGAGAUGGCACGCAGUGCGCACACGGCUGAUGAUGUGGCAUCUCCUGUAUUCGUGUCGCUGUUGCCCUUUUCGUUUGUUUGUUUUCCGCUUCUGUGCAGUCUUCUAGCCAAGAGCACGCGCGCGCGUCACGCUAACAGCUCGCGCUUGCCUCUACUCGUGCACCUCUCUCCGCAGGCGAGAAUAGUUCUGGCGCUUGUGUGCGUGUCGACGACUUGCUCUUGGCAACUAUUCCUUCCUGGUUCAGCCCCACAUCCCGUGUGCCUUGUCUCUCCUCUCCCCCUUCGUUUGUGUGUCCGCUCGGGUGCGGCGACACUGAAGCGCCGCCGGUGCAAUGCGCGCAGCGUGAGCGUGUUGCGUGUGUGGGAGGGAAGUGUAUGUCGUGGGAGAAAUCUGCUGGCCCUUAUCUCCCCAACGGUUGCUCCCCGAGCGUGUGCUGCCCUCUCCCUUCCGCUUUCAUUUUAUCAUAUCAGCAUACACGCGCACAUAUAUAUAUAUAUAUGUGUGUGUACAUGGCCCUGCAUAUGCACGGCCAUGGUCGUCAUCCUCAUUGCCCUUGCCGCUGCCGCUUAGUC
rnacentral:misc_RNA from 1 species